GUGAGUUGAGUAGUCAGCAGCUUUUUGGGCUUGGAAGUAGGGAUCUUGUUUUCAGAUUGGAGCUGUACAGGGCGUAUUUGUGGAAGAGGGGCAAGCUUAUAUGUGCUGGGUUCAGUUGUUAACAUUUUUUGUGUUGGACAGGUGGUUGUUCAGAAGUGUGGCAUUUCUGUGCGGGUUAAGAAGCCCACUGUGAAGUUUGCAGCUCUUCAAGUAUGUGGGAAGAAACAGAAAGUGAAGCUGCCAUCUUCUUCUGGAGAGCGUGGACAAUAAAUGUGCUAAACCCUU